rnacentral:tRNA from 1 species
GUGGGUAUAGCUCAGUUGGUUAGAGCGCCGGAUUGUGAUUCCGGAGGUCGCGGGUUCGACCCCCGUUACUCACCCC